UAAAAAAAAUAAAUACAUUUUUCUUGUUUAAGCCAUCUGGAUUAUGGUCUUUUAUUAUAGUAGUCCUAGCAGACUAACCCAGUUGCUUUAUUAUUUUUAGAAAAUCACACUAAUGAUGUUAACGCCGCUUUUCGCACUUGAGUCCCCAGCACAAUGUAUUCGUGUCAGUGUGCAUUUGUAGCUGUCACAUUCAUGUUCCCCGACCAGGGAUGGAACCUGCGCCCCCCGGCAGUGGAAACAAGGAGUCCUAACCACUGGACCACCAGGGAAGUCCCUAGUGGCUGAUUUCUAACCAGUAGAAUGCAGUGGAGGCCCCCCUGCACAACUUUCAAGGCUACAUCAUAAAAGGCAAUACAGCAUCCACCUCGCUCUCUGUCUCUCUCUGGGUCUCUUUCUUGCUCCCUUUCCCCAGGCCUUCACAGCCCUGAGCAGCCACCCAAGAAGAACAUCCUGCGCUGAAGCCACCGCACAGGGAGGGAUCAUGCGGAGAGACCACCUAGAGGUAGAGAGAGAUGUCCGAGGAUUACCAGCUAUUCACCCCCAACUGUUUGGUCCUUCCCAGCCAAGGCACCCGUUGUGUGAGUGGAUGAGGCUUCAAGAUGGUCUCUGACGGCAUCCUUGGAGGGACCUCAAGUGCAGCAGGACCACCUAGUGGAGCCCGGUCAACCCUGCAAGCAUCACGUAAUAAAUAAUAUGAGAUGGUUAUUGUACUAAACUACUGUUUCGGGUGGUUUGUCAUGCAGCAACAGAAAACUGGAACAUGCCUUGUUGGUAUUUGCAAAGCCCUUCCUUUGAUGGAAUUAAUUUAAUUCAAGAGUUUUUUGUGCUCUCACUUUUCUCCAGAUCACGUUAGGAUGGCACGCAUCCUCUCUUCACUCUGGUGAGGACCACAUGAGUUUGCUGGACUCCUGGCUCGCCUUGGGGUUCUGUUUAUCAGGGCUUUUAACUUGUUAAUGGGAGGAGAGGCAAUUGUCAGUCCAAUGCAGACAAGUUCUGACCAAUCCUAGUGUAAAGGACAGCACUGUAGGAUUGCAUUUGUUAAACAGGAGGAGAGAAGCCUGUAUUUGCUUUGCUACCUGAUUAGUCUGUAUCUUACACUCUGCAUUUCUUAAAUAAAUUUGUUUCUUCCACAAAUUUCUGGCACAUUUGGUUGGAUGCCAGCUAGUCCAAGUCUAGGCAGAUAGAAUCCAUGUCUUCAGGUGAUCUUGUUGCAAGCUGCCCAGCUCUGACACAAGCAAAGGACAGCAGACAAGCCAUCAUUGUCUCCAGUAGAGCCGGAGUGACAGAGAAGUACAGACCUAGUUCACAGGAGGCCCGGAUGAAUCCUGGCAGAAGAAACCGGACAAUGCACCAAAUGUCUUAAGUGCUUUAUGUGCCCUUUUCUCGAAGAGCCAACCUAGAAGACGGAAUGAACAAAUAAUAUCAUAGUGGGUGCACUUUGUCUUCUUUGAAAGCACUUUGCUGUGCCAACUUCCAUUGUUUCCUUUCCAAAUGGUAGCCCUCUGCAAUGGUCUGUUUCUCAUCAAGAGUGCCUAGGAGGUUGGGUGGUCGUGGGAGUUUGGGGGUUGUGGUUUCCUAGACAAUGUUGAGUCCUUCGGAUUGAAUCCUUGGACGUCUAGGAUUUAGGUUCACUUACAUCAUUUCCAGGGUGUUUGGGGCCUCCCAUGAGCCCUCCCCAAAUAGUGUUUUCUCACAGAAGCAUGUCUUCUGGAGAACCCAGGUUAGAGAAGAACUUGGGUUACCCAGACUAAGAGACUGGCUGGCUAUGAGGUUGUCCAUCUUCUUUUUUUUUUUUUUUUUUUUUUUUGCCGUACGCGGGCCUCUCACUGCUGUGGCCUCUCCCAUUGUGGAGCACAGGCUCCGGACGCGCAGGCUCAGCGGCCAUGGCUCACGGGCCCAGCCGCUCCGUGGCACGUGGGAUCUUCCCGGACCGGGGCACGAACCUGCGUCCCCUGUAUCGGCGGGCAGACUCCCAACCACUGUGCCACCAGGGAAGCCCCUGGUUGUCCAUCUUCUGAGCAGGCAUUUUUAGAGGGUAGUGGAGGGGGAGGACUAUCUUUGCAAGGGACUGAAAUGGUUUUCUCUGGAUUGAGUGUGAAGCAGGUUAUCUGGAGAAUCAAAACUUUAUUUAUAUGCAGGAAACUAAUGAUUUGUGGAGGAUGGAAGCUUCAGCGGAGGGUAAGAAUAUUUGUAUGGGGCUUUUGGAGAGGAAAGGAAUAGGGCCUCAAGAAUAUUUGCCUGAGAUAUACAGGCACUGAAAUUUCUCAGAGUAUCCAGGUAGGGCUCCAACCAAUGCCCAGUGACAGGGAAGGGCGCCGAGACAAAAUCAUCUUGGAGGUAGAAAGAGACAUGGCCAAGUCAGGCGGUAGAGGGGUCGGUGUGCGAGAGCAAGCAAGCUCUGGAACGCAUCUGGUGAAUUUCAGGACUUAGUCUGGGAGUUAAGGGGUAGAGUUCUGUAUUGAAUUUCCUGCUAAUGCCUGUACGUGGGAGCUAGGACCUUAUUCUCAUCCCUCACAGAGAACCAGGACGCCAAUACCUUUCCAUUUUGAUCAAUGGAAUAUUUAUAAAUGUAAUAUUUCCUGCCAUAUCAAUAAACAAAGGAUGUUACAGUCGUCAGCGAUUGCACCCCUCAACGUGGGCCGGUGAACCUUAAGGAAAGAAUACCUGCCAUCUAGCAGCCAGCCUUCAGACUGCAGCCACUCCCUGCGGUGAGCCCUGAGGGAACUCAGGAUGUGAAAAUACAGGAUACUGGCUCCAGAGAGCUGAGGUGCCUAUCAAAGGAGUGAUUUCAGUGAGCCCAGAGUCUUGCAUCUUCCCAUACACAGAAAAGCGCUAGAUUCCUUAACUUGAGAUAUCUGGUUUUCUUUAAUCAACAAUAAUCUUUUGACAUCCUGACUACCUGCCCUUUUGUUGCAAAACUCCUAUGUACCCUGGCUCCUCCCCUUGCCUCCUUGGAGCAGUUUCUCAGAGCUACCUGAAAUGCUGUCUCCCCCGGGGCUGCAGUCCUCCUUUUGCCCCAAAUAAAACUUAACUCGCAACUCUCA